rnacentral:rRNA from 1 species
UACGUAGGUGGCAAGCGUUGUCCGGAUUUACUGGGCGUAAAGAGCGCGCAGGCGGUCGUUCAAGUCGAGUGUGAAAGCCCCCGGCUCAACUGGGGAGGGUCAUUCGAUACUGAUCGACUCGAAGGCAGGAGAGGGAAGUGGAAUUCCCGGUGUAGUGGUGAAAUGCGUAGAUAUCAGGAGGAACACCGAUGGCGAAGGCAGGUCUCUGGGCAUUAACUGACGCUGAGGGGCGAAAGCAUGGGGAGCGAACAGG